rnacentral:rRNA from 1 species
AAUGGGGGCAACCCUGAUCCAGCAAUGCCGCGUGAGUGAUGAAGGCCUUAGGGUUGUAAAGCUCUUUUGCCAGGGAAGAUGAUGACUGUACCUGGAGAAUAAGCCCCGGCUAACUUCGUGCCAGCAGCCGCGGUAAUACGAAGGGGGCUAGCGUUGUUCGGAAUUACUGGGCGUAAAGGGCGCGUAGGCGGCCGUUUAAGUUAGGUGUGAAAGUCCUGGGCUCAACCUGGGGACUGCACUUAAUACUGGAUGGCUUGAAUUCGGGAGAGGAUAGCGGAAUUCCCAGUGUAGAGGUGAAAUUCGUAGAUAUUGGGAAGAACACCGGUGGCGAAGGCGGCUAUCUGGACCGACAUUGACGCUGAGGCGCGAAAGCGUGGGGAGCAAA